rnacentral:rRNA from 1 species
AUACGAACGAGACUCUAUCCUACUAAGCGGUGAAUGGAAAAAGAAGUUCGCUAAUAGACGGCUGGAUCCUUGUUACGCGUGCUAUAGAGACACUCUCUCUACGCGCGCGUUUCUCUGACGUCCGCUGUGUCUCUCCUACGAAAUGGGAUUUAUAAGAUAAGCGUUUUCUCGCUGUCGAGUUUUCCCGCGAGUGGUGUGCGCGUUCAUGCGCGGGAGUUCACGCUGUCUCACGUGUGGGGUGUGUGUCGCGCGCGGUGCUCGUAGCGUGUGUAUGCGAAUCUAUAUCUCUCCGCUCGUAGAGAGACAAACGUUUCUUCUUUUAGGUAUCGACGACUCUCUCAAAGUCGUAAGAAAGAGAGAGCAAUAACAGGUCUGUGAUGCCCUUAGAUGCCCUGGGCCGCACGCGAGCUACAAUGCCGGGUACAACGGGUGUUUAUCCUUCUCCGAAAGGAGCGGGUAACCCUGUCAAAUCCCAGUUGAAGCUACACGCGCGACAUAGAGAUUCUGUCUCUAUUCGUCGUUGUACGUUUCAGUGGCUCGCUUGGGCCUGGGGCUUGCAAUUAUCUCCCACAAACGAGGAAUGCCUAGUAUUGGCAGAUCACUGAGUUUGCAGCGACUCAGUCCCUGCCCUUUGUACACACCGCCCGUCGCUACUACCGAUUGAGUGUACCAGUGAGAGUCUUGGACUGGCGAACCUCUUCUUCGUUCUAACUACGAGUAUCUUUAUUAUUCCGUAAUAAGGCGCUCGUAUAGAAGACAGGGGCGACCGACGGAAAGAGAUUCGAACUGCUGCACCUAGAGGAAGUAAAA